AAGAGCGAAUUCCUGAGCGACUUGACACUAAUGGUGUAUGUAUGAGCACCUACUCCGUAAAAGUAAUUGUAAUCUCAUGAAUAGCUCCGUAAAGCUAGCUAGCUACUAUAGUAUAGUACUAUACUAUGGCAAUUUCAACGUCUUUUGAUAUCCAAGAGCAUUAGCAUAUGCACUGUCUUGUGUGAAGCAAGAAGGACUGAUCUUCAAGGAACAGCAGGUCCGUGCUCUCAAGCUCCUGUCAGAAGGAAGGGACGUUUUUGUGUGGUUCCCAACUGGGUAUGGCAAGUCUCUGUGCUAUCAAUUGCUAUAUACCCUUCUUGAUGGACUACAAGCUUGGUAGGACUAAGGGCUCUUGUCGCCAGAAGUGUAGUUCUUUUCAUCUCUCCCCUUGUGUCUCUCAUGAUUGACCAGGUCAGGAGUCUGAACACUAGAGGUGUUUCUGCUGCCAUCCUCAGUAGUAAUAAGGGAAUUGACAGAAGUCUUGUUGCCACUAACAAAUGUGUCGGAUGGAAAGUACCGUCUGCUGUUCACUGCCCCAGAGGCUGUUGUUGAAGACUAUCGUUGGAGGAUGCUAUUACUAGAGCCUCCACUCAAAUCCUCUUUAGUGGCAAUAGCUGUGGACAAAGCACACUGUGUUUACAAGUGGAGCUCUGACUUUCGUCCUGCCUAUGCACACCUGAGCUUAGAGCAUUUGCCCCUCCUGGUGCUCCAAUGUUGGCUGCAAACUGGAUAGUUUCUGACCUACCCUCUAGCUCCACAGCGAUUUCAGAUGAUGUUGAGGCACUGGCAUUAUGUGGACCAUCAACGUGAGCUAAAAAAAUAAUUUUAUUUACACAUUCCUACUUUGUGCAGGAGUAAAAGCAAGCCUUUUUCCUCAAACCCCGACGGUACUCUUUGCUGAUGGAUGCGAGCUCACAGUGAAAGGAGAUGCGUCUGAACCACUCGUGUCCUUAGUCCUUUUCUUAGGGGCUGAUCUUACUGGACUACUAGGGAGCUGCUCUUUGGACACUUGUUUCUGGUAGCUACGUCUGGCCAGGAGCCUGAACACCUCUAUGGACUCUAUCUUCUUGAUACAAGAAAGACAGACAAUCUUUGACAGGCCAUCUGAAUCACUAACAGGCAGAUCCAAUGCAAGACUGAGCCUCCCUGGAAUAUCUUCUUUGAGAGCCUUACUGCUGAACAAAUGUUUAUAUCUUCUGUUUUUGUAUGAUGCUGAACAAAAUAAUGUUUAUAUCUUCUGUUUUUGUAUGAUGCUGAACAAAUGUUUAUAUCUUUUGUUUUUGUAUGAUGCUGAACAAAUGUUUAUAUCUUCUGUUUUUG